CCCAAUCAAAUAAAUCAAUAAGAUUAGUUUGGCAUGAUCUCCCUGGAGUAAACCCAUGUUGUCUCUGAUCUUGAAAUCCAUGUGUUUUUAGAUGUUCAAGAAUCCUAUCCUUUAACAUGGUUUCCAUCACUUUCCCCACUACUGAAGUAAGGCUUACUGGCCUAUAGUUGCCCAACUCCUCCCUAUUACCUUUCUUGUGAAUGGGCACAACAUUCACUAACUUCCAAUCUUCUGGGACUACUCCUGUUAACAAUGAUUGGUUAAAUAAAUC